rnacentral:rRNA from 1 species
UACGUAGGGUGCAAGCGUUUAAUCGGAAUUACUGGGCGUAAAGCGUGCGCAGGCGGUUUUGUAAGUCUGUCGUGAAAGCCCCCGGGGCUCAACCUGGGGAAUUGCGAUGGAGACUGCAAGGCUUGAAUCUGGCAGAGGGGGGUAGAAUUCCACGUGUAGCAGUGAAAUGCGUAGAGAUGUGGAGGAACACCGGAUGGCGAAGGCAGCCCCCCUGGGGUCAAAACUGACGCUCAUGCACGAAAGCGUGGGGGAGCAAACAGG